rnacentral:rRNA from 1 species
GCUGGCGGCGUGCUUAACACAUGCAAGUCGAACGAUGAACCACUUCGGUGGGGAUUAGUGGCGAACGGGUGAGUAACACGUGGGCAAUCUGCCCUGCACUCUGGGACAAGCCCUGGAAACGGGGUCUAAUACCGGAUACUGAUCCGCUUGGGCAUCCAGGCGGUUCGAAAGCUCCGGCGGUGCAGGAUGAGCCCGCGGCCUAUCAGCUUGUUGGUGAGGUAACGGCUCACCAAGGCGACGACGGGUAGCCGGCCUGAGAGGGCGACCGGCCACACUGGGACUGAGACACGGCCCAGACUCCUACGGGAGGCAGCAGUGGGGAAUAUUGCACAAUGGGCGCAAGCCUGAUGCAGCGACGCCGCGUGAGGGAUGACGGCCUUCGGGUUGUAAACCUCUUUCAGCAGGGAAGAAGCGCAAGUGACGGUACCUGCAGAAGAAGCGCCGGCUAACUACGUGCCAGCAGCCGCGGUAAUACGUAGGGCGCGAGCGUUGUCCGGAAUUAUUGGGCGUAAAGAGCUCGUAGGCGGCUUGUCGCGUCGGUUGUGAAAGCCCGGGGCUUAACCCCGGGUCUGCAGUCGAUACGGGCAGGCUAGAGUUCGGUAGGGGAGAUCGGAAUUCCUGGUGUAGCGGUGAAAUGCGCAGAUAUCAGGAGGAACACCGGUGGCGAAGGCGGAUCUCUGGGCCGAUACUGACGCUGAGGAGC